rnacentral:rRNA from 1 species
UACAUGGGGUGCAAACGUUGCUCGGAAUUAUUGGGCGUAAAGCGCGCGUAGGCGGUUACUCAAGUCGGAUGUGAAAGCCCUCGGCUUAACUGAGGAAGUGCACCCGAAACUGAGUAGCUAGAGUACUAAAGAGGGUCGCGGAAUUCCCGGUGUAGAGGUGAAAUUCGUAGAUAUCGGGAGGAACACCGGUGGCGAAGGCGGCGACCUGGGUAGAUACUGACGCUGAGGCGCGAAAGCGUGGGGAGGCAAACAGG